rnacentral:SRP_RNA from 1 species
CUUUGGUUAAUGCUGGGCGUUUUGUUUGUCUAGUUGGUCAGGUUCGAAAGAAAGCAGCCAGGGUAUCCUUAAACGGGUCAGCAUUAACUAAUACUC